UGUUUUGAACGGGAGAAAGUGUAACGCGCAAUAUGGCGGAAUAAGUCCCGCCUUCAAAAUAAGAGCCAAUCGCCGACUUGUAAAGUCAUCGCGUCACUGCAGCGGCCGUUAGAAGCACCGGUUUCUAUAGAAACAGUCAGACGCACGCCUCAGAAAUGAGGCACAAGAGACGCGCAUUUAGGUCUGCGCAUGCGCAUUAGCUUGAUCCAGCCUGAAAAAUGCAUUUUUUUUUGUCAUGAUUCGAGCGUUUAGAAACUAAAUUUAUGAGCCGGUUGUUGUUAGAUUUAAUUGGUGAUUUCAAAUAUGAAAUUUAAUCGUAAGGUUGGCGAACAGUUUUGGAGAAUUUGAUGUUUCCCCAUUCAAAGAGAUAGGAGCCGCAUGAUGCCCAGGAUGCCCGAGAGGCGUUUCAAAGAUGGCCGCCGAGUCUUAAAGAGACUUUGAUUACGUCACAGAAUUCAAAUAUAUUUGACCGUUAUCCCAACAGACACAUUUCUCGUGUUAAACGUACAGCGUCACGCGAAUCUGUCGCUCAGAACUGAACGCCACCGCGAUGACCCGUGACAUGAAAUUUCUCAUUUUUCUGGGUGCUGUGGGGUGGGGGGUAAUAUUUUAUUUUUCCGCAGUCUCUAACCCGCCCGCUCCAUAUCUAAAGUGCGGCGACAGGCCUGAGAGAGAAAUUAAACAUCGAAACACUCGGAUGAUCGGAGGUGAGAACGUCAGCGUGGAUGUUUGGCCGUGGCAGGUGUCGGUGCUGUACCGGCCCGAUCCAUCUGCCCCGUUCACUCAAGUCUGUGGUGGAGCUAUUAUCGACAAAUACUGGAUAAUGACUGCAGCUUCAUGUGCAAAUGUGAAGGAUCAAAGCAAACUUUUGAUCCGAGCGGGAAGCAGUAGACUGGAUGUUGAUGAUGAGUUCACACAGAAGUCAGAAGUCGCCAGAAUUAUCACACACGAACGAUUCAAUCCUGUCACUCUGCGGUACAGUAUCGCUCUUUAUCGAAUGAAGACGCCUUUUGUGUUCAGUGAGUUCGUGAGUCCCGUCUGUGUGCCUGAUGACGCGGCUGCGGAUCACAAAUAUGAGUCCUGUCACAUCACGGGAUAUAACGCUCAGCCUGGCGGUGAUCUUGGCGCACUGCAAGAAGCAAAUGUGUACAUAAUGUCACGGUCACUGUGCAACAAACCAGAGUACUGGAACUUCUCUGUGGCAGCGGACAUGCUCUGUGUCGGCGAGUUCGGUGGAGGUGUGGACGGAUGUAAGACAAAUCUGGGUGGACCGCUGAACUGCUAUAUCAAAAUUGAGCAUCACUACUAUUUGAUUGGAAUUCGAGUGAAGGCCACUUCCUGUGGAGAACCUAACCGACCAAAUAUUUAUUUGAAAGUCUACGGCCUCUAUUAUUGGAUUGAGCGUGAAAUGAAUAUAAGCUUCCACUGAAAUCAAGUUGGAUUUCUCAUACUAUUCUGGGUACAUACAGCCACAUUAUUGAGUUAGAUAGCGUAUUUAUGUUCAUCUGAUUUCAAGUUCAGAGUGUCAUUCAUUAAAUGUUCAUUUGUUAUUAUACACUUAUAAAUGUAUUGUUCUGAAUUUCACUUAUUGAUGUUAUUUCUCCUGUGUGCAUAUUUUAUAUGUUGCUAAUGCAUAAUAUUUUAUAUAUAAGCUUAAGUAUGUAAGUUUACUUAAAAAAGCAGUAGUGUUUGUGUCAUGAUUGUAUCAACAUCAGAACUACCAUAAUGAGUAAGAAUCAGAGGAUAUAGUGACCUCUGGUGGACAAAUCUGAAUUUAGC